UUUUAGUGCUUCAAAUCAUUCAAAAUGGCCGCCCCAAAGCGUAUUGGUGAUAGUGGCUAUUGUUGUGACAACGAUCCGGCGAUCCCCAUGAUGAUUCUUAUUCUCAGGGAUUUGGUAAUCUAUUAUAUAGUUUUCGUGGAUAAUAGCACUAUUAAAGUAUCUGACAUCAGGUAUUGCAUUUUUACUAUGAAACCUUUUGACGAAAUGUAAACAGUUUACAUCGAUCAUGCGAUAUUUUUUGUCUUCAUUCUUAACGUUGGAUAAUAUCUUCAGCUGAAGGCUUCAUGUGAUCUGCGUGCUUGUGACAGUGAUUAAAUGGUCCAAUUCAAGCUGUCUUCCAAAACCAUGGAAAUUCUGUUUGCAAGAACGCGAAUAUGUUCCAUCGGGAUAUUCGGCCACAUCAUCAACAAUCACAAGCUAUUCAAAUAUCUAUGCAUCACCUAUUUAUGUGCCAGUUCCCGUUUCACUGCCUUCACAAAUCAAUCAACCGCAGCCAGUGGAACGUUAGGAUUCAAAAGAAAGAGUUUCUCAGUUGGAAGAUCUAUAGCGGAUGCUGGAACUGCAGAAGAAGAUUCAGGAAUUGGAGAUUAGUUUGCAGGAAGCCAUAGCCAAACAGGCUGUUCCUCCCAGUGGAAUUAAGAGCCAGCAGGUCGUCAUCGACAAAUCGAUAUCUGCAGCUAUUUCCACUGGAGCCACUGAAGCCGAACUUUGUGUGUUCCUAAAAAGAAUCCUUCUACCUCAUCUUGUGUCUCUUCUAAAGUUCUGAAUGAAAUCGAUCUUCUGCACUUCCGAUUGAGCAAUGUGAUCGCCUCAACCGGAGCUGUCGUUGUCAACCGUCGUCGCAUUGGAAAGAUAACCGACAACUAUCAGGAGUAGGAGCAGGAGGAAUUUCCUUGUCCCAUUCCCACUUAGAGAUUCACAGACAUGAAGAGUAUGAAGUGACCUGAAUGUAUGUACCAGAUCUGCUUGUUGAUGAAAGCCUUACUAAAUGCAUCACCCAUAUAAUAAAGCAUCAGGAAAUUUAUCUCAACAUGUGAAGUAAUGCU